rnacentral:rRNA from 1 species
ACUACGGGAGGCAGCAGUGGGGAAUAUUGCACAAUGGGGGAAACCCUGAUGCAGCGACGCCGCGUGAGUGAAGAAGUAUUUCGGUACGUAAAGCUCUAUCAGCAGGGAAGAAAAAAAGUCCUUUGGACUUUGGACGGUACCUGACCAAGAAGCCCCGGCUAACUACGUGCCAGCAGCCGGGGUAAUACGUAGGGGGCAAGAGUUAUCCGGAUUUAAUGGGUGGAAAGGGGGCGUAGACGGCAGCGCAAGUCUGGAGUGAAAUGCCGGGGCCCAACCCCGGAAGUGCUUUGGAAACUAUGCAGCUGGAGUGCAGGAGAGGUAAGUGGAAUUCCUAGUGUAGCGGUG